rnacentral:rRNA from 1 species
CACCCAAAGUACGGCUGAGGAGAAGGAGCUCGCUCUUAGAAGCUGCCUGGUCGGCCUAAAUAAACCGGAAAACAGACGGAGAAAUUGUUUUGCAGGCCAAGCAAGAAAAUACUUCCUUUGGAGCCGGCCUUCAGGGAGAGAGAGACGCCCUUCUUUUGAUCGUUUGCUUUUCUUUUUAGAUAUUCUUUCAAACAGGCUGGUUGUUUGGGAAUCCGACCUAGAUUGGGAGGUCUCUCCCACCCCUAACUAAAGAUUGGAAACAAACCGAGAACGAAUACCGACCGGGAGGGAAGAAUAAAAAGAUCUUUAAAAAGAUAGUUACACAGUAAGUUUGUUUGUUAGAAAGCAAUUGUUGGCAGACUGACUGGUCUGUCUGCAAUCUAUCUUUCCGUCUGCCUGCACGCGCUUGCUAGGCCUGCCUCCCACCAUUUAUUUUACUUGUGAAAAAAAACGAAAAAAAAGGCGGCCCCCUUGUGGGAGUGAUACUCCCACAAAACAUACCUUGGGAUGGAGGAAGGAACCCAACGCAUGUUUUUUGGCUUUUUUUCCAGGAUUUCUUACUGACUUACUAAUCUAUCAUGAUCGAUCUGUUUGUACAUCCAUCUACUCACGUAGGUGGUUGACUGACUGACUCUGAAUCACCUUGCUAGACACACCAAAAAAAAUACAAAA